CUCUCCCUCUCUCUCUCUCUCUCUCUCUCUCUCUCUCUCUCUCUCUCUCUCUCUCUCUCUCUCUCUCUAUCUCUCGCUUGCUGUCUCUUUCAUUACUUUCUCAGAAAAGGCGAGAGGAGGAGGAGGGGGGGGGCACUAGCCGCCUUCAGGCAGGGUUAAACUGCCCUGCCCUCUUCCCUUAAACGAGUCCGACCUGUUCCUGCUGCGUUGAGUUAUCUGCUGAUCUCACGGUUCAAGAUCAUCUCACUGAGUCUGUGCAAGAGGAAGAACUUUAUUUUUCCUCUCAGCUAUAUAAAAAGUCUUUCGAGAUCAAAGUUCAUCCAACAAGUCCUGCGGUGUCCUUGGCCCCGUUGAGUCCUCUGCUCCGAGUUCCUCUGGCUCUUCUGCCACAACCGCCUUGCCAAAGAACAGAAAACCCCAGACAACGUGUGCGAGGAGCUCUUCAGAUCCUGUCUCUGUACGGUGUAAGGGUUAGGGCUGGUUCUCCUCUUGUUUUGUCAGUGCGGCUCCGCGUGCCGGUCGGGGCGUACUGUUGCACUCUCCCGCCCGUCCCUUUCUCCUCCGGAGCUUCGCGGCCCCAGCAGGAAUAAAUUAGGCAAAGCACCGGCAAAAUAAUCCAGUCCCAGACCCUAGUGGGAGCCAGUGUGCAGCCCAGACAGGCCUACUGCCCCUCUCCCCUCCUACUGCCCCUCUCUCCUCCUACUGCCCCUCUCUCCUCCUACUGCCCCUCUCUCCUCCUACUGCCCCUCUCUCCUCCUACUGCUCCUCUCUCUCUCCCUCUCCCAGCCUGGAGAGAGUGAGCUUGUGUGCUCAGGGAUUUGACACUGCUAUUCAAGCCCUGUGGUUGCCAUGGCACUGGCUGCCUUAUAAGGCCAGUAGAGUCAAAGAGCACAGAGUGGGCUGAAGCCACACACAUGCACACACACACACACACACACACACACACACACACACAGAGAAAAGAAUCCUCACUGACUGUUUACUACCUCUGUAAGCCCUGACCCCAGGCCAGCCGGGGUGUGCAGGGAGUUACCCCAAUACAGCCCUAAAACAAGGCAGGGGAGCCUCAGGUCAGUACACCGAGCCCAUGGAAGGGCUCCUUCUGCCCUCUCUGUCCUCUCUGUCCUCUCUGUCCUCCUCUCUGUCCUCCUCUCUGUCCUCUCUGUCCUCCUCUCUGUCCUCCUCUCUGUCCUCUCUGUCCUCCUCUCUGUCCUCCUCGCUGUCCUCCUCUCUGUCUUCUCUGUCCUCCUCUCUGUCCUCUGUCCUCUCUGUCCUCCUCUCUGUCCUCCUCUCUGUCUUCUCUGUCCUCCUCUCUGUCCUCUGUCCUCUCUGUCCUCCUCUCUGUCCUCCUCUCUGUCCUCCACUCUGUCCUCCUCUCUGUACUCUCUGUCCUCCUCUCUGUCCUCCUCUCUGUCCUCCUCUCUGUCCUGUUGUUGUUGUUGUUGUUGUUGUUGUUGUUGUUGCUGCUGUUGCAGUUGAGCAGAAGGUUACAUGAUCCUCUAGUACUUAUUUUACACCGCUGUCCUGGUCAGGGUCAGGGUCUGGGUCUGGGUCUGGGUCUAGGGGUCUGGGUCAGGGGUCUGGGUUACGUAUUGGUCAGGGUCUGGGUCUAGGGGUCUAGGGGUCUGGGUUAGGGUCUGGGUUACGUAUUGGUCAGGGUCUGGGUCUAGGGGUCUGGGUCAGGGUCUGGGUCUAGGGGUCUGGGUUAGGGUCUGGGUUACGUAUUGGUCUAGGGGGUCUAGGGGGUCUAGGGGGUCUGGGUCGAUGUUCUAGGCUAAGGCUGACAUAUCCUGGAUUCUCAGCCAUUUGCAAAAAGAGACAAAUCCCAGAUAGCCUCAACAAAAGUUACAUGUAAGCACAACUAUUUUGAAGAGAUGCAAACACGGCGGUCAUGUGAACGGCAUCUUGAACAUUUAUUGAAGUAAACGGACAAUCUGAGCCCACAGCAGAGUAUUCAAAUAGCCUCCAGAUUGCAGAGUAAAGAACUCCACAGAGAACGUAUUGAAGGCGUCCUCAAAGCGCUGUGUGUCCUGAACCUGUCGCUGGUCACAUGCUCCACAGACAGUGCGGAACAAACUCUGUGACCCGAGAGAAACCAAAGGACGCUUCCCUUCUCUGCUAGCGUUUGGAUGUGGAGGAGGUUAUGGGAGUCUUCCACUGUGUUUGCAAUGCUAAUAGCGCUAUGUUAUAGAUGUAUGCAUGUGAUAUAGCAGCACAUGCGCACAUAAAUAAAACGUGUGUGUGUUUGUUUGUUUGCGUGUGUGUGUGUAUGAGUGUGUGUGUGUGUGUGUGUGUGUGUGUGUGUGUGUGUGUGUGUGUGUGUGUGUGUGUGUGUGUGUGUGUGUGUGUGUGUGUAUGGGGAGGGGAUGCAUGUGUGUGUGUUUGCGUGUGUGUGUGUGUGUGUGUGUGUGUGUGUGUGUGUGUGUGCAUCUUUGAACUACAGGUCAGGAACUCAGCAGUUCUCAACAGUCUACUUUGGUCUGGUCCCUGCAUUCAGCAGUCAGCAAGUCAGCCAACAGAGAACACAGAAGCACGCUCCCCACGCAGAAACAAUCACGCACGCACGCACGCACACACACACACACACACACACACACACACACACACACACACACACACACACACACACACACACACACACACACACACUUUUAUCACAAGGAGAAAAAAGGUAGAGAAAUGGUUAUUUGAAGUUUGUCCAAUCAAAGCCGUACGUAUAUGUGUGUUUUGGGGAUGUCCUGCUCGCUUGACCAUAGCUUGCAUUACUUGAAAGGUGCAGAGGCCUUUGGCGAGGGAGUUAAACUUUAACCUUGUUGUUGUGGUAUGAAGUCUCUGAGCACAUGACUCCUGUUCCCUUCUCAUUAGCCCCACUGCCCUUUGGCCCACAGGCCAGAAGUCAUACUCUCUCCCAUACACUCCCUCUCUCUCUCCCUCUCAGUCUCUCCCCUCUCUCUCUCUCUCUCUGUCUCUCUCUCUGUCUCUGUCUCUGUCUCUGUCUCUCUCUCUCUCUCUCUGUCUCUGUCUCUCUCUCUCUCUCUCUCUCUCUCUCUCUCUCUCUCUCUCUCUCUCUCUCUCUCUCUCUCUCUCUCUCUCUCUCUCUCUCUCUCUCUCUCUCUCUCUCUCUCUCUCUCUCUCUCUCUCUCUCUCUCUCUCUCUCU
ensembl:lncRNA